rnacentral:rRNA from 1 species
AGGGUUUGAUUCUGGCUCAGGACGAACGCUGGCGGCGUGCUUCAUACAUGCAAGUCGAACGAGAAGCAGGAGCUUGCUCCUGUGGAAAGUGGCGGACGGGUGAGUAACAUGUAGGAAAUCUGCCCAAGAGUGGGGGACAACAGUUGGAAACGACUGCUAAUACCCCAUAUGAGCCAAGCUGAAAUGCUUGUCUUGAAAACUCCGGUGCUCUUGGAUGAGCCUGCACCUGAUUAGCUAGUUGGCGGGGUAAAUGCCCACCAAGGCUAUGAUCAGUAGCUGGUUUGAGAGGAUGAUCAGCCACAAUGGGACUGAGACACGGCCCAU